rnacentral:lncRNA from 1 species
GCACAAGUAGCAGGAAAGGGAGGCACUUCAAAGAAGCUAUAUCUCUAUUCUCGGCAGCCUCUGGUGCCUCGUUUAUGCACAUAACAAUCUGCAGAAAUGUCAAAUAGACUUCCCCCCGAUGCCAAUUCGAAGAAGAGUUGCAAGGAACCUUAUCAGAUUGGGGACUCGGCACCUUGGAAAUUUUCCUAUAUUGAGAGAAAAUAAAUCAAAGGCC